UAGGAAUCUGCCCGAUAGUGGGGGAUAACGUGGGGAAACCCACGCUAAUACCGCAUACGUCCUACGGGAGAAAGCAGGGGAUCUUCGGACCUUGCGCUAUCGGAUGAGCCUAUGUCGGAUUAGCUAGUUGGUGAGGUAAUGGCUCACCAAGGCGACGAUCCGUAGCUGGUCUGAGAGGAUGAUCAGCCACACUGGGACUGAGACACGGCCCAGACUCCUACGGGAGGCAGCAGUGGGGAAUAUUGGACAAUGGGGGAAACCCUGAUCCAGCCAUGCCGCGUGUGUGAAGAAGGCCUUCGGGUUGUAAAGCACUUUCAGCGAGGAAGAAGGCCUGAGGGUUAAUACCCUUCAGGAAGGACAUCACUCGCAGAAGAAGCACCGGCUAACUCCGUGCCAGCAGCCGCGGUAAUACGGAGGGUGCGAGCGUUAAUCGGAAUUACUGGGCGUAAAGCGCGCGUAGGUGGCUUGAUAAGCCGGUUGUGAAAGCCCCGGGCUCAACCUGGGAACGGCAUCCGGAACUGUCAGGCUAGAGUGCAGGAGAGGAAGGUAGAAUUCCCGGUGUAGCGGUGAAAUGCGUAGAGAUCGGGAGGAAUACCAGUGGCGAAGGCGGCCUUCUGGACUGACACUGACACUGAGGUGCGAAAGCGUGGGUAGCAAACAGGAUUAGAUACCCUGGUAGUCCACGCCGUAAACGAUGUCGACUAGCCGUUGGGUUCCUUGAGAACUUUGUGGCGCAGUUAACGCGAUAAGUCGACCGCCUGGGGAGUACGGCCGCAAGGUUAAAACUCAAAUGAAUUGACGGGGGCCCGCACAAGCGGUGGAGCAUGUGGUUUAAUUCGAUGCAACGCGAAGAACCUUACCUACCCUUGACAUCGUGCGAACUUGGUAGAGAUACCUUGGUGCCUUCGGGAACGCACAGACAGGUGCUGCAUGGCUGUCGUCAGCUCGUGUUGUGAAAUGUUGGGUUAAGUCCCGUAACGAGCGCAACCCUUGUCCCUAUUUGCCAGCGAUUCGGUCGGGAACUCUAGGGAGACUGCCGGUGACAAACCGGAGGAAGGUGGGGACGACGUCAAGUCAUCAUGGCCCUUACGGGUAGGGCUACACACGUGCUACAAUGGUCGGUACAAAGGGUUGCAAUGCCGCGAGGUGGAGCUAAUCCCAUAAAGCCGAUCUCAGUCCGGAUCGGAGUCUGCAACUCGACUCCGUGAAGUCGGAAUCGCUAGUAAUCGUGAAUCAGAAUGUCACGGUGAAUACGUUCCCGGGCCUUGUACACACCGCCCGUCACACCA
rnacentral:rRNA from 1 species